rnacentral:lncRNA from 1 species
CUGAGGAUAGUCAAAAGCAACCACAACAGCCCACACCCACUGAUGAAGGUUCUGAGUCUGAAUCUGAAACUGAAUCGGGUGAUUCAGAGGAUUUCAAGAGUGCGAAAGCCUCUAUGCGACCCUCUGAAAGCUCUGAUCAAGAAUUGGAGGAACCAUUGUUCACAAUAGGUCGUUUUUCUCCUAAGAAGGAAGAGGAGAGUGUUGAAGACUUAAGGCUAAUUCGUAGGUCACAGAGAGCCACAAAAGGCAAACCUCCAAAGAGAUUUGCUGAUGAGUUUGCUACGAUAGCAGUAACAGCUGUUAAAAGCUCCAAGAAGGUAUUUGAACCUUCAAGUUUCCAAGAAAUCCAGGGUUUGGAUUCAAAGGAAGCUGAGCCAUGGUUAAAUGCCAUGAAGGCUGAGCUUGAUUCCUUGGAAAGGAACAAAACAUGGGAGCUAGUUCCAGUAGUUCCAGGAAUGAAACUGCUUGGAAGCAAAUGGGUCUUCAAAGCGAAGACAGAUCAAAAUGGCAAGAUAGUCAGACACAAAGCCAGAUUGGUAGCCAGAGGUUUUGCACAGGUACCAGGUGAAGACUAUCACGAGACCUAUUCACCCACAGUGAGAUAUGAAAGCAUUAGGCUUAUGCUCAAGCUAGCUGCAGAGGAAAAUCUACACAUUAGUCACCAUGAUAUUAAUACAGCUUUUCUGUACGGAUCUCUAGAUGAAUCACUUUAUAUGCUUCCACCUGAUGGCGUACAGGUAAAACAGGGAUUUGUUUGUGCUCUGAAGAAAUCCCUUUAUGGUCUCAAACAAAGUGCACGGUGUUGGCACACAAAACUCACUGAAGUAUUGUUUUCUCUAGGUUUUCAGCAAGGGAAAGCUGAUCCAUGUGUAUUUAUCAAAGAGGAGGGGCAAAAGAAACUGUACUGUUUGUUUUAUGUUGAUGAUUUAUUAUUCUUUUGGAAAGAUGUUGCAAUGUACAAUAGCGCCCUAGCUCAACUGAAAGAGCACUUUGACAUGAAAGAUCUUGGUGAGGUAAACAACUACCUAUCUCUGGAAAUAGAGAGAGAUCAAGAUGGUAACAUUCUAGUACACCAGUCACGGAAAAUUGCUGAUGUGUUAAGCAAACUAAAUCUGAUGGAUGCUAACCCUGUAGACACACCGAUGACAACAGGUUAUCAGGUAGAUGACACUGAAGAAGCAUUUUCUGACACUACACUGUACAGGAGUGUGCUAGGCAAGCUAAACUUCAUUGCCAGAUGUUCAAGACCAGACAUUGCUGUUAGCUGUAAUUUGCUAAGCAGACAAGUCAACAAUCCUAGUGUCAAGCACUGGAAAGCUCUGAAACGCAUAGCGCGGUAUUUGAAAGGCACUAUGCAUUACAGACUGAGAUUUAACAAUCAAAAGUCUGGUGGUCUUGAGAUAUUUGCAGAUGCAAGUUUUGGAAGUGACACUACAGACAGGAAAAGUACGUCUGGAGUUUGCUACAUGUACAAUCAGAGUCUGUUUGAUUGGUCAUGCAAGAAGCAAACAACAGUUAGCCUAAGUACUUGUGAAGCCGAACUGAAUGCACUGUCUUAUUCACUUAAGGAUUGUGAAUGGUUAGUACAAUUGUGCAAAGAUAUGAAAAUUCCUGUCAAAUGUCCAAUCCAGGUUUACCAGGACAACAAAGCAUGUUUGGCUUUGCUGAAGUCUGAAGGUUGUAAGCAAAGCACAAAGCACUUGCAAUUAAAGUUGCAGCAUGCUAGGGAAUGUAUUCAGAAGGGACUCGUAACGGUGUCCUAUAUGCCAGGUAAUGAAAUUCCUGCUGAUGUAUUGUCCAAGAUUGUAUCAAGGGAUCAACACUGUACCUAUGUGCAGAAGUUGGGUUUGUACUGAUAUUGUGUGAACACGCUGCCCAGUGAUGUUCACAGAAGGGGGAGGAUGUUAGUUUCUGCUUUCCUUCACUGUGCAGCUCUGCUUGUCACGAGACAGGUGUUUACAUUCCACAGUCUGUACUGUUGGAGUUUCUCACGGGAAAGGGAGGCUGGAUGUGACGUACACUGGUUUCCUGUUUUUCACUGUGUGAUUCUCUCCGAGCUGUUGAGGAGAGAGGAUGCAUUUUUCUGCUCCGGCAGAGGCAAGAUGUCUUUCUGUAAUAUACCAGCUUUGAACUGUAAAUAAAGCAAUAUAAAGUAUGUAUCACGUACUCCUCAUCCUUCCGCUGGGCACGACAGACUCUGCUUUAAAUCAACAGGUCCUACAGUUUCAUACCCUCCAACAUUCCACUGAUGAAAAUUGGGGCACAUGCCUUUGGGUGCCAUGGGAGCCAGCUGACUCAUGCAAGAGCGGAGCACCACCACAAGUGCCAGCAGCAACUGCAAGCGCUACCUCAUCCUCUUCCUCAAGCUCAGAGGCAGCAGCGCUGGAGGCGGGAAACAGGACAUUCCAGGAUUGAAUCAGAAGCCAAGAUGGCCUCUGUAAUUCCAGGCACCACAGUUCAAGAAGGACACUGACAAACUGGAACGUGUCCAGAGGAGGGCAACCAAACUGGUCAAAGGCCUGGAAACGAUGCCUUAUGAGGAACGGCUAAGAGAGCUGGGCAUGUUUAGCCUGGAGAAGAGGAGGUUAAGGGGUGAUAUGAUAGCCAUGUUCAAAUAUAUAAAAGGAUGUCACAUAGAGCAGGGAGAAAGGUUGUUUUCUGCUGCUCCAGAGAAGCGGACAAGGAGCAAUGGAUACAAACUACAAGAAAGAAGAUUCCACCUAAACAUUAGGAAGAACUUCCUGACAGUAAGAGCUGUUCGACAGUGGAAUUUGCUGCCAAGGAGUGUGGUGGAGUCUCCUUCUUUGGAGGUCUUUAAGCAGAGGCUUGACAACCAUAUGUCAGGAGUGCUCUGAUGGUGUUUCCUGCUUGGCAGGGGUUGGACUCGAUGGCCCUUGUGGUCUCUUCCAACUCUAUGAUUCUAUGAUUCUAUGAUUCUAGGAUGUCCCAACAAAAUCAGGACACUUGAAGAGUAUGCAGUUCGGAACUAGUCAGAUGGUGCUGAAUAGCUAUUAUAUGGAUGCUUCCCACCACUAGAACAAAAGGUGUAUGUGCAAUGCAUCUCCCUCCCUGGGAAUUCUGCUUUGCGACUUUUUUCUUUUUAAAGCAUCCUUAUUGUAAAUUGUAUUUUAUGGUCCAUGUGAACCAUUCAGAGUACUUGGUUGGAUUAGCGGCAUAUAAACACAAUAAAUAAAUAAAUUAUGGGUUUAAAAGGAACAUUUGUCUUUGGCCACCUUUUGAAAGAUACAAUAUGUUUUAGGCAGCUACCUGGAAACCAAAUAAGUUGCUUGCUGGGCCUCUUUGGGCAGAGCACUUUCCCACUAUGAUGGUGUAAAAGGUGAAAAGGUAUAAAACUGAGCUCACCACCCACCCCAUCAAGCCAUCAUCUAAACCCUGUGCCUCUCCAUGGAGCCUUUGAAAGGAGAAAACAGGCCCGAGCAACUCUAGAACUAAACCCAAAGCAAUUGUCACUAAUUCAACCCUGGCUGAUUUAUUUUAUUUUAUUUUGGAGUGGGAGGAGAGUUCGGUCACAACGGAUCACUUCUGAAAAUGCCACGCUAUGAAUGUCAGCGAACAUUUUCCAGCCCAGUUACGACUGGAGAACUGACAUAACACAUUUCCAUUAGUUCCAAGAAUUUCCCCUCUCUUCCCCUGUACUUACGAAUCACCAAAUUAAUCUUCAUCAGUGCUUAUUCCUCCUAUUGUUUGUUUUAGUCCCGUUCUUUAUUUUGCAGAAAAUAUUUGUUCUUUCCCCAUGUUAUUUAUUUGGCUUUGCUGGCUGUCUCAUUUGCUAUUUAUCUUAUUUCCAUUUCUUAUUACUGGCAAUACAGGCACUCUUUUUCCACCCCAGAGUGCUGUCUUGGAACCAUAUUCAUUUUAUUCCCCCUGUUCUUAAAUUCCUCCGUGUUAAUCAUUUAUCAGCCCCUUGCAGACAGGGAGAGGGGAAACCGGGCAGAUUCCCUUUAAAAAAUAAAUUACUACGUGGCUUCACUUUGAUCACUACAGUAAGUUAGGGAAGCAUCAUUGCACCCAUUAUGCUGCCUUCGCAUCACAUCCCUUUCCGUUAGUGAACCAAACAAGUAAACCAGCUCAAAAUAGGCCAUCCCUCAUACAUCUGUUAGAGCUAAGAAGAUUUAGCUUUGUGCACACAAAUGCGGUUGCUUGGCAAUUCCCAUAUGCACCAACCUCAUCUUGUCCAGGGUCAAUGUUCAUUUCAGGAUGUAAUUUGAAGUUUGUUCUGCUUGGGCUUCUUGCCAUCUUUUCAGAAAACAGUCAUGGAAGGAAGCCCUCCUGGUGGGAUUCACUGCUGAAGUGAAGCACACUGAAAACUGUUGCUUAAUAGCUGAGCCUAGACUCCAGUUUUUUGUGGUCAAAAUGUCCUGGGGUGCCGGCACCCAGUAAUGUCUUACGGGGGCAGGAAUUCUGAUUCACAUGGAUCUCACCUCCCUGCAGGAGUUUCCCACUCAUUGCAGUAGAAGGAGUAAGAUAGCUAAUGUGUUGCCUUCCAGCUGCUAUCAGGGCUGGCCCAAUCAUGAGGCAAGGUGAGACGACUGCCUUAUGCAGCAGGAUCCAUGGGGGCAGCAGAACAGGCCUUCCAGGAAUGCACCACCUGCUGCUGCUACUGUCAUGCAGCAUCAAUAUCAAUAAAAUUCAAAAAUUCAGGGGUCAUUUUUUUUGGGGGGGGGACCCAGUCAGUAGACAUCAAAUGAUCACUAGGGCUAACAGGCCAAGUUGGUCCUACUAGGGCCGGCAAGGAGACCGGGGAAGAAUUUAAAUGUGGGGUCCUAGAUAGGGUUUCUUCAUAGAAGAGGAGAGGGGGGAAAGGGAAAGGGAAUAGUGGAUCAGGCUAAUUCAGAUUGAAGCCACGUGGAAUAGCUCUGUCUUACAGGCCCUGUGGAAGGAGAUCAAGUCCUGCAGGGCCCUAGUCUCAUGGGACAGAGCAUUUCACCAGGUCAGAGCCAUCACUGAAAAAGCCCUGGCCCUGAUGGAGGCUAGUCUGACUUCCUUAGGGCCCAGGACCUUUAAGCUAUUAUUAUUCAUGGACCUUAUAUAAAGUGCUUUUUCUUUGCCAAUGUAGCUGAGUCCCCUGUCACCUCUCCAGCUUCUAACACCUCCUCCUCCCAGUCUAAUCCUUCUUCUCCCUCUGGCCACUCAUUGUUGCCCCACCACCAAUCCCUGGACUCUUGAGCCUUCUUCUCUUGGGGGUUCCCCAGCUGGUGCCUCCCACCAUUCCUCUGUGUCCAGCCAGUUCAUGACACAUGUAAAGUGCCUUCUAUCACUGAGCUACAUCCCUUCCUGAAUACACAGUCUGACUGGGUAUAAGGAAGCUACCUGCAUACCUAACUAUAACGUACCGUAUUUUUCGCUCCAUAAGAUGCACCUGACCAUAAGACGCACAUAGUUUUUAGAGGAUGAAAGGGGGGAAAGCCCCUUUUUUGAGGAUCAGCUCAAAGUUGUUCAGCUUACUUUGCAGAGGGAAAAAAAUCCUGUUUUUAUGGGGUUCAAUUUACAGUUCUGCAGCUUCUUUAGGAAAGGAAAGGGAGCUGUUUCUACAGUUUCCAGACAGAUAAUCUAAUCAGCCAGUCACAUGUCGCUGGGGAAACAAACGGCCUCCGUCUGCAGUGUUGGUUUCUAUUUCCCUCACUGAGCAGCAACUGCAGUCACAAGACAUUGUUUUACAUUCCACAGUCUGUACUGUUGGAGUUUCUCACGGGAAAGGGAGACUGGAUGUGACGUACACUGGUUUCCUGUUUUUCACUGUGUGAUUCUCUCCAAGCUGUCGAGGAGAGAGGAUGCAUUUUUCUGCUCCUGCAGACGCAAGAUGUCUUUCUGUAAUAUACCAGCUUUGAACUGUAAAUAAAGCAAUAUAGAGUAUGGAGCACAUUUUCCUCAUCCUUCCGCUGGGCACGACAGACUCUGCUUUAAAUCAACACGUGGUUAUGGGCCCAGAGGUCGAAUCGGAGUGUCGGCAAAAGGAUCGGAAUGCAGAGGGACGGAUCGGAAAGGAAUCUGCUCUGCGCGUAGAAGUGAUUGAUGAGGUAUGUGCUACUGCUCCGGGCAGCCUGCCAGCUUCAAGAUAAUGGCUUUAUGGCUGGACUUUGAACUUUUAAAGCCGGUUUUGCCGGUAGGAGGGAAUAGGCUCCCAGGCACAAGUCACUAUGCUGGGGAAAUCGAAAGUAACUUUUAAGUGUGCCUUUGUAAUGAGGCAGCUGCAGCAGUGACGCAGCAAGAUUUAAAGCAGCAUAUGACGCUGAAGGCUAAUGCCAGAGUCAUGAUGGCCCUUCAGGAUGCUUGUGGGAUUCCUAAGCUCAACAAGAAAAAUUACAGCGACUGGGUUCAGUAUGCAGAGGCAAUUCUGCGGAAAGAGGGUUUGUUUGAGGUGAUUACAGAAACCCCCAGUUCCAGUUACAGAUGCAUGGGAAGCUAAGGAUUCCAAAGCAAGGGGAACUCUUACAUUGAUAGUAUCCCCAGAAGAGCUCUGUCUAUUGCGUGAUAAGACCUCAGCCAGAGAAAUUUGGGACGCUCUGAGAGAGGCUCACUUAAGGACAGAAGCUGGAUCCACUAUGUUUUAUUUUAACAAGCUGCAUAAUAUGGCUCUUGCUGAAGGUGGAGAUGUGCGUUUACAUCUAAUGGAGAUGCAAAAUCUCAGACAUGAGCUGCAACAGAGAGGACUCAACUUUCCAGAGGCUGUGUAUUCUUUCAUGAUACUACAAUCUUUGGGUUCAGGUUGGGAGUCUGUUGCAACCCAGAUUGCUGUGCAACCAACUGCUCAGCUGACAGUGGACUUUGUUACUGCCGUGAUUUUAAAUGAAGCAGAUCGCCGGGGUGCUGGCUGCAUGGGCAAGGGGGAGUCUUCACAGACGUCAUCCCAUAGUGCAGUGGAACCACCAGAUGGCGCCAAAGCUUUGGAGGCAGUGAAAUGCUACUCGUGUGGACGUCUAGGCCAUAUGAAGAGGGAAUGCAGACAUCCCAGGGCCAAGACAGAGCAGCGCAGCGAAAGCUCAUCGCGCGGAAAAGGCCGAGGCAAAGGCAAAGGUCCGGUGUCUAGGACAACGCAGCACAAGGCUAUGGUUUCACGCUUCACUCCAAAGGUUGCAAAGGUCCAGAAGACGUCUAGAUCUUUCUUCGUUGUUGAUUCAGCGGCCACCCACCACAUGUGCAACGAUAAGAAACUGUUUGUGUCUUUUACACCGCAGGAAGGUGCGAUUCACCAGGCGGAUGACCACACUAUUCCCAGUAAAGGCUACGGAACUGUUGUUCUUCACAGUUUGGACUUAUCGAUACAGAAUGUGCUUUACGUGCCAGACGCCAAACAUAAUCUGCUCAGCGUUGGACAGCUGAAUGAGCGGAACAUUGACGUUUCCUUCAAGAACAAGAAGUGCAUCAUCACAAAGAAAAAUGAUUAUGUAUUGCAUGCAGAAUAUGUUGAUCAUUUGUUUGUUUUGUAUUAUGAUGAUGUGGUGCAGGAUGAUACUUGUUGCAUUGCAGGUUCUAACAAAAGUUUGCAUGCAGAAUGUAUUCACGAUUUUCAUCGCAAAUUUGGUCAUUUGCAUUUUGAGGCAGUAUCUAAAAUGCCUGCCUUGGUUGAAGGUAUGACUAUUAAACCCUGCAGGUACCACAUGAAGUGCAAAGCAUGCGCAGCAAACAAAGUGAAAAUGGCUGCGAAAGGUAAGGUGUCUAGUAGGAAAGCUACAGAACCAUACCAGGUUGUUCAUGCUGAUUUGGUUGGACCAUUAGCACCCUCUUUGGGUGGAAAUAGAUACUUCAUGGUUCUCAUUGAUGCAUUUUCUAGAUAUAUUUUUGUGUACAAUCUCAAGCAGAAAUCGGAGGCUUUUCCUAGGUUCAAGGAAUUCUGUGCUUGGUUGGAAAAUGUGCAUGGUAAGAAGAUAAAGACUCUUUUCAGUGAUCGCGGGGGAAUUCACUUCUCAGCAGUUUGAAGCUUUUCUGACUGAGAAAGGAAUUCAACACGAUUUGUCUAGUCCUCGCCGCCAUGGCAGAAUGGACUUGCGGAACGGGCAAAUCAGACUUUGCUUCAAGGGUUAAAAACCUUGCUGCAUGAUGCCAAUCUUCCAGAGAGUUAUUGGGCCGAAUCUCUCUCGUGUUUUGUUUACAGUUACAAUCGCAGGUUAUCUUCAGCGAUCGGUUGUACCCCCUAUGAGAAGAUGUUUGGCAAGAAGCCAUACAUCAAACACAUGAAGAUUUUUGGUUCUGACAUGUGGGUUCGCUCACCACAAAACUCCAAGUUAGACAAGCGUGGAUUGCAUGGUAUCUUUCUAGGUUAUCAGAAAGGGUCUUACAGAAUAAUGAUGACUGACUCUAAGACAAUUAAGCUCACGAGAAGUGUUGAGUACAAUGCAAAGUGGGGGAGAAUGUGGGAAUUUUCCAAUGUUAUCCUGAUGACGGUGAUGAGACUGAGGAUAGUCAAAAGCAACCACAACAGCCCACACCCACUGAUGAAGGUUCUGAGUCUGAAUCUGAAACUGAAUCGGGUGAUUCAGAGGAUUUCAAGAGUGCGGAAGCCUCUAUGCGACCCUCUGAAAGCUCUGAUCAAGAAUUGGAGGAACCAUUGUUCACAAUAGGUCGUUUUUCUCCUAAGAAGGAAGAGGAGAGUGUUGAAGACUUAAGGCUAAUUCGUAGGUCACAGAGAGUCACAAAAGGCAAACCUCCAAAGAGAUUUGCUGAUGAGUUUGCUAAGAUAGCAGUAACAGCUGUUAAAAGCUCCAAGAAGGUAUUUGAACCUUCAAGUUUCCAAGAAAUCCAGGGUUUGGAUUCAAAGGAAGCUGAGCCAUGGUUAAAUGCCAUGAAGGCUGAGCUUGAUUCCUUAGAAAGGAACAAAACAUGGGAGCUAGUUCCAGUAGUUCCAGGAAUGAAACUGCUUGGAAGCAAAUGGGUCUUCAAAGCGAAGACAGAUCAAAAUGGCAAGAUAGUCAGACACAAAGCCAGAUUGGUAGCCAGAGGUUUUGCACAGGUACCAGGUGAAGACUAUCACGAGACCUAUUCACCCACAGUGAGAUAUGAAAGCAUUAGGCUUAUGCUUAAGCUAGCUGCAGAGGAAAAUCUACACAUUAGUCACCAUGAUAUUAAUACAGCUUUUCUGUACGGAUCUCUAGAUGAAUCACUUUAUAUGCUUCCACCUGAUGGCGUACAGGUAAAACAGGGAUUUGUUUGUGCUCUGAAGAAAUCCCUUUAUGGUCUCAAACAAAGUGCACGGUGUUGGCACACAAAACUCACUGAAGUAUUGUUUUCUCUAGGUUUUCAGCAAGGGAAAGCUGAUCCAUGUGUAUUUGUCAAAGAGGAGGGGCAAAAGAAACUGUACUGUUUGUUUUAUGUUGAUGAUUUAUUAUUCUUUUGGAAAGAUGUUGCAAUGUACAAUAGCGCCCUAGCUCAACUGAAAGAGCACUUUGACACGAAAGAUCUUGGUGAGGUAAACAACUACCUAUCUCUGGAAAUAGAGAGAGAUCAAGAUGGUAACAUUCUAGUACACCAGUCACGGAAAAUUGCUGAUGUGUUAAGCAAACUAAAUCUGAUGGAUGCUAACCCUGUAAACACACCGAUGACAACAGGUUAUCAGGUAGAUGACACUGAAGAAGCAUUUUCUGACACUACACUGUACAGGAGUGUGCUAGGCAAGCUAAACUUCAUUGCCAGAUGUUCAAGACCAGACAUUGCUGUUAGCUGUAAUUUGCUAAGCAGACAAGUCAACAAUCCUAGUGUCAAGGAUUGGAAAGCUCUGAAACGCAUAGCGCGGUAUUUGAAAGGCACUAUGCAUUACAGACUGAGAUUUAACAAUCAGAAGUCUGGUGGUCUUGAGAUAUUUGCAGAUGCAAGUUUUGGAAGUGACGCUACAGACAGGAAAAGUACGUCUGGAGUUUGCUACAUGUACAAUCAGGGUCUUUUUGAUUGGUCAUGCAAGAAGCAAACAACAGUUAGCUUAAAUACUUGUGAAGCCGAACUGAAUGCACUGUCUUAUUCACUUAAGGAUUGUGAAUGGUUAGUACAAUUGUGCAAAGAUAUGAAAAUUCCUGUCAAAUGUCCAAUCCAGGUUUACCAGGACAACAAAGCAUGUUUGGCUUUGCUGAAGUCUGAAGGUUGUAAGCUAAAGCACAAAGCACUUGCAAUUAAAGUUGCAGCAUGCUAGGGAAUGUAUUCAGAAGGGACUCGUAACGGUGUCCUAUAUGCCAGGUAAUGAAAUUCCUGCUGAUGUAUUGUCCAAGAUUGUAUCAAGGGAUCAACACUGUACCUAUGUGCAGAAGUUGGGUUUGUACUGAUAUUGUGCAAACACGCUGCCCAGUGAUGUUCACAGAAAGGAGGAGGAUGUUGGUUUCUAUUUCCUCACUGAGCAGCAACUGCAGUCACAAGACAUUGUUUUACAUUCCACAGUCUGUACUGUUGGAGUUUCUCACGGGAAAGGGAGACUGGAUGUGACGUACACUGGUUUCCUGUUUUUCACUGUGUGAUUCUCUCCAAGCUGUCGAGGAGAGAGGAUGCAUUUUUCUGCUCCUGCAGACGCAAGAUGUCUUUCUGUAAUAUACCAGCUUUGAACUGUAAAUAAAGCAAUAUAGAGUAUGGAGCACAUUUUCCUCAUCCUUCCGCUGGGCACGACAGACUCUGCUUUAAAUCAACACGCAGAACAUUCAACAAUGGAGGCCUGGGCAAGGGGGCAGGGCUGGAAAGGGACCCAGCGAUCAACCACACAUUCGCUCCAUAAGAUGCACAGACAUUUACAGACAUUUCCCCUUACUUUUUAGGAGGGAAAAGGUGUGUCUUAUGGAACGAAAAAUACGGUAGUUGCACCACGAAAUCUUUCUUCAAGCGCCUGCUCACACUCCCUCCUUCCGUAUGGCGCUGGCAUUUGGCAGAUGGGGAGGGUUUUACAGAUAGGAGGCACUCUUCAUCCCUCAUGAAAACAAAGGCGAAAUGAGGCAAAUUGUAUCAGCUCAUUUCUUUUCCUCCAACUGCCUCUUACGCUGCAAUCGCUCCAUUUCCCAGUUGCAUGCCGGGAGAUAACUAACAAGACAAAUGGGAUGAUGUUAGCUGUCUUAUUCCUGAUACUGUCUGAUGCUAGCCUGCAUUGUUCAAAUUAAUUAAUGCCACAUCAUUAUCUUUAGAUGGCAGGCAGAUGUUGGGGUUAUGCUUGUUGUGAACCUUGAACACUUCUACUUCACAGAUCAAGAGCAGUUGCUUUAUAACAGAGAAAUCAAGGUCUAGGCCUACUGGCAGCGAGUUGGUUUGGUAAUUAUCUUAGUAAUAGGCCUCCGUUAUUAUGCAGUGAAGGUCCUCUUUCCUCUGCUGAUGGGUCAUGGCAAACCCGCGGGAUCCAUAUAUGGUCCAGUUCUAAUUUCUCCCCUGUAAAUGACUUGCCAUCUGUCAGCCGUUCAAGUUCACCUAUUGCCAUUCCAGAAACACCAAUAAAUUAAUUGCAGACUUGCAGGUUCAACUAAGAUCAUAAAAUUGAUUUAGGCUGUGAUUUUUUUGUCGUCCCCUCACCAUCACCAAAAAAAAGAGAGGCAAAGCUGAGCUGCUAAAAAUAAUCAAGCAUAUUUGGCCAGGAAAUGAAGUUCAGGACAUUUUAUAUUGGUUUGCAAUCGAGGUGGUUUCUAUUUUGAUAAAAAGUCUGAUUUAAUGGGUAAAUCUGAUGCCCAUCCAAUUUGCAGAAUCUAAAUCCUUCUGCUAUCUUUCCUUUUGCUGAGUGAUGUUGGAGACGUCUGGAGAAUGUGUGUGGAAGUCGUUUACAGUGGUAUCUUGUUGUUUUCUGUAUUUGGGUUGCUGUCAGUGGGUAACACAGUCCUGGUGUUCUUGCUAGAUUUUGCAGGAUCCAUGAGAUACAGGGUCAGGGUGUUAUGUAUUGAAGUUCUCACCCUGGGCCAGCAGGGGGGAUACUGUAGAUAGUUUUCACUCAGGUCCGCAUAUGCAAAUAAGGAAUUGAAAGUGAAGUUCAGUGAUUGGAUAGUUACAGAAAGUUGUUACUGUUGCUUUGGUAGUUGAGCUCUAUAUAAGCAGGUUGGCUGAACCCUUCAGCUCAGUUCUGCGCCUGUGAAUAAACAAGAGCUGUUUGAAGAAUCGCUGUGUGGUCUGAUAUGUUCACCAACAACUUAACACAGGGGUUCUUGCAUAUGUGAAUAUUGAUAUGCUACUGGGGGGACAUUUCCAGACCACAGUGGCACAAUAAACAGCAUUGCCUCCGACAGCCGUAGCAGCAGUAAUAUCCGUUGUGCUCAAACUAAAAGGCUCUCAAUCGAUUUGGUGAGCUCUUAUAUGUAGGAAUUGGGGUGAAAGGGAGCCUCUUCGAUAAUCAAUACAAGAGAUACAGCUUUUCAGAGAAAAGAUCAAAGCUUUGCAGCCCACCGUGCUGGGUGGAAGGUUGAGGAACGGCCUCUCCAGGAAAUCUACUCUUAUGCACAAUAACCGUGCAGAGUACGUCUUAUCCAAAGGCAGAAUAGGGACAAAAAGAUACAGGGAGAAAUCCUAUGCACAAGAAGCAGGCCAGAACGCUUCCGAGCACAAUACAAAGUGUUGGUGCUGACCUUUAAAGCCCUAAACUGUUGGUUUCUAUUUCCCUCACUGAGCAGCAACUGCAGUCACAAGACAUUGUUUUGCAUUCCACAGUCUGUACUGUUGGAGUUUCUCACGGGAAAGGGAGACUGGAUGUGACGUACACUGGUUUCCUGUUUUUUCACUGUGAUUCUCUCCAAGCUGUUGAGGAGAGAGGAUGCAUUUUUCUGCUCCUGAAGAGGCAAGAUGUCUUUCUGUAAUAUACCAGCUUUGAACUGUAAAUAAAAGCAAUAUAUGGAGUAUGCAGCACAUUUUCCUCAUCCUUCCGCUGGGCACGACAGACUCUGCUUAAAUCAACACGUGGUUAUGGGCUCCAGAGGACGGAUCGGAAUGCAGAGGGACGGAUCGGAAAGGAAUCUGCUCUGCGCGUAGAAGUGAUUGAUGAGGUAUGUGCUACUGCUCCGGGCAGCCUGCCAGCUUCAAGUUAAUGGCUUUAUGGCUGGACUUUGAACUUUUAAAGCCGGUUUUGACGGGAAUAGGCAAAAGGCUCCCAGGCACAAGUCACUAUGCUGGGGAAAUCGAAAGUAACUUUUAAGUGUGCUUUUGGAUAAGGCAGCUGCAGCAGUGACGCAGCAAGAUUUAAAGCAGCAUAUGACGCUGAAGGCUAAUGCCAGAGUUAUGAUGGCCCUUCAGGAUGCUUGUGGGAUUCCUAAGCUCAACAAGAAAAAUUACAGCGACUGGGUUCAGUAUGCAGAGGCAAUUCUGCGGAAAGAGGGUUUGUUUGAGGUGAUUACAGGAACCCCCCCAGUUCCAGUUACAGAUGCAUGGGAAGCUAAGGAUUCCAAAGCAAGGGGAACUCUUACAUUGAUAGUAUCCCCAGAAGAGCUCUGUCUAUUGCGUGAUAAGACCUCAGCCAGAGAAAUUUGGGACGCUCUGAGAGAGGCUCACUUAAGGACAGAAGCUGGAUCCACAAUGUUUUAUUUUAACAAGCUGCAUAAUAUGGCUCUUGCUGAAGGUGGAGAUGUGCGUUUACAUCUAAUGGAGAUGCAAAAUCUCAGACAUGAGCUGCAACAGAGAGGACUCAACUUUCCAGAGGCUGUGUAUUCUUUCAUGAUACUACAAUCUUUGGGUUCAGGUUGGGAGUCUGUUGCAACCCAGAUUGCUGUGCAACCAACUGCUCAGCUGACAGUGGACUUUGUUACUGCCGUGAUUUUAAAUGAAGCAGAUCGCCGGGUGCUGGCUGCAUGGGCAAGGGGGAGUCUUCACAGACGUCAUCCCAUAGUGCAGUGGAACCACCAGAUGGCGCCAAAGCUAUGAAGGCAGUAAAAUGCUACUCGUGUGGACGUCUAGGCCAUAUGAAGAGGGAAUGCAGACAUCCCAGGGCCAAGACAGAGCAGCGCAGCGAAAGCUCAUCGCGCGGAAAAGGCCGAGGCAAAGGCAAAGGUCCGGUGUCUAGGACAACGCAGCACAAGGCUAUGGUUUCACGCUUCACUCCAAAGGUUGCAGAGGUCCAGAAGACGUCUAGAUCUUUCUUCGUUGUUGAUUCAGCGGCGACCCACCACAUGUGCAACGAUAAGAAACUGUUUGUGUCUUUUACACCGCAGGAAGGUGCGAUUCACCAGGCGGAUGACCACACUAUUCCCAGUAAAGGCUACGGAACUGUUGUUCUUCACAGUUUGGACUUAUCGAUACAGAAUGUGCUUUACGUGCCAGACGCCAAACAUAAUCUGCUCAGCGUUGGACAGCUGAAUGAGCGGAACAUUGACGUUUCCUUCAAGAACAAGAAGUGCAUCAUCACAAAGAAAAAUGAUUAUGUAUUGCAUGCAGAAUAUGUUGAUCAUUUGUUUGUUUUGUAUUAUGAUGAUGUGGUGCAGGAUGACACUUGUUGCAUUGCAGGUUCUAACAAAAGUUUGCAUGCAGAAUGUAUUCACGAUUUUCAUCGCAAAUUUGGUCAUUUGCAUUUUGAGGCAGUAUCUAAAAUGCCUGCCUUGGUUGAAGGUAUGACUAUUAAACCCUGCAGGUACCACAUGAAGUGCAAAGCAUGCGCAGCAAACAAGGUGAAAAUGGCUGCGAAAGGUAAGGUGUCUAGUAGGAAAGCUACAGAACCAUACCAGGUUGUUCAUGCUGAUUUGGUUGGACCACUUGCGCCCUCUUUGGGUGGAAAUAGAUACUUCAUGGUUCUCAUUGAUGCAUUUUCUAGAUAUAUUUUUGUGUACAAUCUCAAGCAGAAAUCGGAGGCUUUUCCUAGGUUCAAGGAAUUCUGUGCUUGGUUGGAAAAUGUGCAUGGUAAGAAGAUAAAGACUCUUUUCAGUGAUCGCGGGGGGGAAUUCACUUCUCAGCAGUUUGAAGCUUUUCUGACUGAGAAAGGAAUUCAACACGAUUUGUCUAGUCCUCGCUCGCCAUGGCAGAAUGGACUUGCGGAACGGGCAAAUCAGACAUUGCUUCAAGGAUUAAAAACCUUGCUGCAUGAUGCCAAUCUUCCAGAGAGUUAUUGGGCCGAAUCUCUCUCGUGUUUUGUUUACAGUUACAAUCGCAGGUUAGCUUCAGCGAUUGGUUGUACUCCUAUGAGAAGAUGUUUGGCAAGAAGCCAUACAUCAAACACAUGAAGAUUUUUGGUUCUGACAUGUGGGUUCGCUCACCACAAAACUCCAAGUUAGACAAGCGUGGAUUGCAUGGUAUCUUUCUAGGUUAUCAGAAAGGGUCUUACAGAAUAAUGAUGACUGACUCUAAAACAAUUAAGCUCACGAGAAGUGUUGAGUACAAUGCAAAGUGGGGGGGAAUGUGGGAAUUUUCCAAUGUUAUCCUGAUGACGGUGAUGAGACUGAGGAUAGUCAAAAGCAACCACAACAGCCCACACCCACUGAUGAAGGUUCUGAGUCUGAAUCUGAAACUGAAUCGGGUGAUUCAGAGGAUUUCAAGAGUGCGAAAGCCUCUAUGCGACCCUCUGAAAGCUCUGAUCAAGAAUUGGAAGAACCAUUGUUCACAAUAGGUCGUUUUUCUCCUAAGAAGGAAGAGGAGAGUGUUGAAGACUUAAGGAUAAUUCGUAGGUCACAGAGAGCCACAAAAGGCAAACCUCCAAAGAGAUUUGCUGAUGAGUUUGCUACGAUAGCAGUAACAGCUGUUAAAAGCUCCAAGAAGGUAUUUGAACCUUCAAGUUUCCAAGAAAUCCAGGGUUUGGAUUCAAAGGAAGCUGAGCCAUGGUUAAAUGCCAUGAAGGCUGAGCUUGAUUCCUUAGAAAGGAACAAAACAUGGGAGCUAGUUCCAGUAGUUCCAGGAAUGAAACUGCUUGGAAGCAAAUGGGUCUUCAAAGCGAAGACAGAUCAAAAUGGCAAGAUAGUCAGACACAAAGCCAGAUUGGUAGCCAGAGGUUUUGCACAGGUACCAGGUGAAGACUAUCACGAGACCUAUUCACCCACAGUGAGAUAUGAAAGCAUUAGGCUUAUGCUUAAGCUAGCUGCAGAAGAAAAUCUACACAUUAGUCACCAUGAUAUUAAUACAGCUUUUCUGUACGGAUCUCUAGAUGAAUCACUUUAUAUGCUUCCACCUGAUGGCGUACAGGUAAAACAGGGAUUUGUUUGUGCUCUGAAGAAAUCCCUUUAUGGUCUCAAACAAAGUGCACGGUGUUGGCACACAAAACUCACUGAAGUAUUGUUUUCUCUAGGUUUUCAGCAAGGGAAAGCUGAUCCAUGUGUAUUUGUCAAAGAGGAGGGGCAAAAGAAACUGUACUGUUUGUUUUAUGUUGAUGAUUUAUUAUUCUUUUGGAAAGAUGUUGCAAUGUACAAUAGCGCCCUAGCUCAACUGAAAGAGCACUUUGACAUGAAAGAUCUUGGUGAGGUAAACAACUACCUAUCUCUGGAAAUAGAGAGAGAUCAAGAUGGUAACAUUCUAGUACACCAGUCACGGAAAAUUGCUGAUGUAUUAACCAGGUUGAAUUUGGUUGAUGUAAACCCAGCAGACACACCGAUGACAACAGGUUAUCAGGUAGAUGACACUGAAGAAGCAUUUUCUGACACUACACUGUACAGGAGUGUGCUAGGCAAGCUAAACUUCAUUGCCAGGUGUUCAAGACCAGACAUUGCUGUUAGCUGUAAUUUGCUAAGCAGACAAGUCAACAAUCCUAGUGUCAAGGAUUGGUAUGCUCUGAAACGCAUAGCGCGGUAUUUGAAAGGCACUAUGCAUUACAGACUGAGAUUUAACAAUCAGAAGUCUGGUGGUCUUGAGAUAUUUGCAGAUGCAAGUUUUGGAAGUGACGCUACAGACAGGAAAAGUACGUCUGGAGUUUGCUACAUGUACAAUCAGAGUCUGUUUGAUUGGUCAUGCAAGAAGCAAACAACAGUUAGCUUAAGUACUUGUGAAGCCGAACUGAAUGCACUGUCUUAUUCACUUAAGGAUUGUGAAUGGUUAGUACAAUUGUGCAAAGAUAUGAAAAUUCCUGUCAAAUGUCCAAUCCAGGUUUACCAGGACAACAAAGCAUGUUUGGCUUUGCUAAAGUCUGAAGGUUGUAAGCAAAGCACAAAGCACUUGCAAUUAAAGUUGCAGCAUGCUAGGGAAUGUAUUCAGAAGGGACUCGUAACGGUGUCCUAUAUGCCAGGUAAUGAAAUUCCUGCUGAUGUAUUGUCCAAGAUUGUAUCAAGGGAUCAACACUGUACCUAUGUGCAGAAGUUGGGUUUGUACUGAUACUGUACGAACACGCUGCCCAGUGAUGUUCACAGAAAGGGGGAGGAUGUUGGUUUCUAUUUCCCUCACUGAGCAGCAACUGCAGUCACAAGACAUUGUUUUGCAUUCCACAGUCUGUACUGUUGGAGUUUCUCACGGGAAAGGGAGACUGGAUGUGACGUACACUGGUUUCCUGUUUUUUCACUGUGAUUCUCUCCAAGCUGUUGAGGAGAGAGGAUGCAUUUUUCUGCUCCUGAAGAGGCAAGAUGUCUUUCUGUAAUAUACCAGCUUUGAACUGUAAAUAAAAGCAAUAUAUGGAGUAUGCAACACAUUUUCCUCAUCCUUCCGCUGGGCACGACAG